rnacentral:lncRNA from 1 species
UGCCAUUUGGAUUCUAUUUAAGACUAAGGGUUUGAGUAAUGUUCUAUUAUGGAUUAAAAAUUUUUGAUAAAAAGUAGGCCUCGGAAUGGUGACAUAGGAUUUUCAAAUUAUUGAAUAUAAAUGUUAUUUAUCCCUAAUCUGAGAUGAGGCCUUGUACUUUAUUCAAAACAAAGAGAACUGGUCCUUAGAGGUCAGCAUGAGG